UGCUUUUUCUUUAUACUUUUUGUUCUAGGGUUUAGUUUGAAUUUUUUAUCAUAAAUUUUAGUGGCUAAUUAGCCAUAUCCUUGUUCAAUUUCAAUUCAAAAGAUGAACCGCAGGAUUUUGUUGAUAAUUAGAGUACUCUUCACUUUUUUAACAUAUGUGGCUUGGUCUGGUUUGUUUUGGGAUUUGCUCCUGUAAAGUAUAGGGUUGCAUAUGCAUGAAUGUCAUAAAUGAAUUUGAGUAGUCUGUGUAAGCAUCGCAUAUUUUCAUGUUUGAUUCACUGUGGAAAUGAAA
rnacentral:misc_RNA from 1 species